rnacentral:lncRNA from 1 species
UCACCGCCGCCCUGGGGGGCCCCCGCUGGCCUGGGGGUCCCCGCAGCCGGCCCCGAGGCCCACGCCCGGACGGUGAGUGCCCGCCCCGCCCCCGGGGUGAUAGGAGUCGGGUAGAGAGAGGACCUGAGACUCGCAGGAACUGGAGAAGUGGGAGAGGACGGGGUGGGGGGGAAGUGGCGAGCCCGGCCGGGCCACUGGGAGGGUGUGGCCAAUGUGGUCUUUGUGUUGAAAGAAGCAGGAAGACGGAGGCUGGGGGUGGAGGGGGAGGUCAAGUGGGAAGUCCCUCCUGGAAUCUGACUGCAGUCCCCGAAUUGCAGCCCACUGUCUCUUCCGGGCCUGGGGCAACAGCUGCAUCCGAGCUGCCCUCCCCCAGUCUGGGUCCCCUAGACCCCCUGGAGGAUUCUUGUUGCAGGGAGUGUGGGCCGAGCGGGAGGACUGUCAACUCUGGGCUCUGGGGAGGGGUCGAGGGGCCUUUUGCCUUUAUUUGCAUCUCUUUGGCCAGGAUUGGCCCUCUCCGCAGUCCCGGCGGAGGAAGGAGAGGGGGAGGGGCCAUUGUGUUGGGAAAGUCCCCUCGGGGAGGGGGGGAGUCUUGGGGAGGGAAGGGUUAAAGGUCCCCUGCCUGAUGGGCUGUUAACCCUGUGGUGCCCGGGGAGCCCCCCAUCCCUGCCGGCAGGCGCUGUAGCCCAGGAAAGUCCUCAGCCCUCGCUCUCGCUGGCGGAGCAGCACCUGGAGUCGCCGGUGCCCAGCGCCCCGGGGGCCCUGGCGGGCGGUCCCACCCAGGCGGCCCCGGGAGUCCGCGGGGAGGAGGAACAGUGGGCCCGGGAGAUCGGGGCCCAGCUGCGGCGGAUGGCGGACGACCUCAACGCGCAGUACGAGCGGCGGGUGAGUGCUGGGGGUGGGGUGGACGGCAGGUGGGACUUCCCGCCGGAGGAGGGGGCGGCAGGCGGCCCCCGCCAGAUGUGCGGCAGCUGCUGCCCUGCGCGGCUGGGUCGCUCCGCGGACAGGCAGGUGGGGGGUGAGUGGGUGGGGGGGAUCGCGCGCCCGCAGAGGCGCCCAGGGACUCCGCGCCGCGGCUGGCAUAGUCGGAGCCCGAGCCAGGGCCAGGGCCAGGGCCGGGAACUAGGCCGCCGCGGAGACUAGCUGCGCGCCCGUGGCCCGCGGCCGCGGGGACUGAGGGCGUCGCUGGGCGGCGCGGCUCA